rnacentral:lncRNA from 1 species
GUUUAAAUUUGUUGUAGAAAUUAGUAGGAUUUGGUUAGGAUUUGAUUUAGAAUUAGGAUUUGAUUAGGAUUUUAUUUAGGGUUAGGAUUUAGUUAGGGUUUGAUUUAGGAUUUAAGAUUUGAUUUAGGAUUUAAGAUUUGAUUAGGAUUUGAUUUAGUGCUAGAGUUUGGUUAGGAUUUGAUUUAGGAUUUAGGAUUUUAUUAGGAUUUGUUUAAGAUUUAAGAUUUAGUUAGUUUUUGGCCUAAAGUUUGAAUGAAGUCCAAUAGGAUUUUAAUUAGGAUUAAAUUAAGAUUGAAUUGAGAUGUAUUUCAGAUAUAUUUGUAAUU